AAAGGUGUAGCUCAGUGGUAGAGUGCAUGCCUAGCAUGCACAAGGUCCUGGGUUCAGUCCCCAGUACUUCUG
rnacentral:tRNA from 1 species